rnacentral:snRNA from 1 species
AUCGCUUCUCGGCCUUUUGGCUAAGAUCAAAGUUUAGUUUCUGUUCUUAUCGAAUUAACCUUCGAUAGAGAUUCGAAUGAGUCUCGUUAAGGUUAUUUGAUUUUUGGGACCGGAUGGGGUCGCGGGCUUGCUCGCACCCCAUCCGGUCCCAAAAAUCAGGGAGGAACAAACAUG